rnacentral:rRNA from 1 species
AUUGAACGCUGGCGGCAGGCUUAACACAUGCAAGUCGAGCGAGCGGCGGACGGGUGAGUAAUGUAUGGGAAAAUGCCUGAUGGAGGGGGAUAACUACUAGAAACGGUAGCUGAUACCGCAUACCAUCAGAUGUGCCCAGAUGGGAUUAGCUAGUAGGUGGGGUAAUGGCUCACCUAGGCGACGAUCCCUAGCUGGUCUGAGAGGAUGACCAGCCACACUGGAACUGAGACACGUUCCAGUCUCCUACGGGAGGCAGCAGUGGGGAAUAUUGCACAAUGGGCUCAAGCCUGAUGCAGCCAUGCCGCGUGUGUGAAGACGGCCUUCGGGUUGUAAAGCACUUUCAGCGAGGAGGCGUUACUCGCAGAAGAAGCACCGGCUAACUCCGUGCCAGCAGCCGCGGUAAUAC